CGGGUGAGUAACACGUGAGCAACCUGCCCCGAAGUUUGGGAUAACACCGGGAAACCGGUGCUAAUACCAGAUGCCCUCAUCGAGUCACCUGGCUUGAUGAGGAAAGAUUUAUCGCUUCGGGAGGGGCUCGCGGCCUAUCAGCUUGUUGGUGGGGUAACGGCCCACCAAGGCUUCGACGGGUAGCUGGUCUGAGAGGACGACCAGCCACACUGGGACUGAGACACGGCCCAG
rnacentral:rRNA from 1 species